rnacentral:tRNA from 1 species
GCCUGGGUGGCUCAGUAGGUUAAGCAUCCGACUCCAGCUCAGGUCAUGAUCUCAGGGUUUGUGGGUUUGAGUCCCGUAUCAGGCU